AGUGAACGCUGGCGGUAGGCCUAACACAUGCAAGUCGAACGGCAGCACAGUAAGAGCUUGCUCUUACGGGUGGCGAGUGGCGGACGGGUGAGGAAUACAUCGGAAUCUACUUUUUCGUGGGGGAUGACGUAGGGAAACUUACGCUAAUACCGCAUACGACCUACGGGUGAAAGCAGGGGAUCUUCGGACCUUGCGCGAUUGAAUGAGCCGAUGUCGGAUUAGCUAGUUGGCGGGGUAAAGGCCCACCAAGGCGACGAUCCGUAGCUGGUCUGAGAGGAUGAUCAGCCACACUGGAACUGAGACACGGUCCAGACUCCUACGGGAGGCAGCAGUGGGGAAUAUUGGACAAUGGGCGAAAGCCUGAUCCAGCCAUACCGCGUGGGUGAAGAAGGCCUUCGGGUUGUAAAGCCCUUUUGUUGGGAAAGAAAAGCAGCAGGUUAAUACCCCGCUGUUCUGACGGUACCCAAAGAAUAAGCACCGGCUAACUUCGUG
rnacentral:rRNA from 1 species